GUAACACCCGAAGCCGGUGGAGUAACCUUUUAGGAGCUAGCCGUCGAAGGUGGGACAAAUGAUUGGGGUGAAGUCGUAACAAGGUAGCCGUAUCGGAAGGUGCGGCUGGAUCACCUCCUUUCUAAGGAUAUAUUCGGAACAUCUUCUAUAUGUGAAUACAUAGCAUAUCAGAAGGCACACCCGGAGAACUGAAACAUCUUAGUACCCGGAGGAAGAGAAAGAAAAUUCGAUUCCCUUAGUAGCGGCGAGCGAAACGGGAAGAGCCCAAACCAAMAAGCUUGCUUGUUGGGGUUGUAGGACACUCUAUACGGAGUUACAAAGGACGACAUUAGACGAAUCAUCUGGAAAGAUGAAUCAAAGAAGGUAAUAAUCCUGUAGUCGAAAAUGUUGUCUCUCUUGAGUGGAUCCUGAGUACGACGGAGCACGUGAAAUUCCGUCGGAAUCUGGGAGGACCAUCUCCUAAGGCUAAAUACUCUCUAGUGACCGAUAGUGAACCAGUACCGUGAGGGAAAGGUGAAAAGCACCCCGGAAGGGGAGUGAAAUAGAACCUGAAACCGUGUGCUUACAAGUAGUCAGAGCCCGUUAAUGGGUGAUGGCGUGCCUUUUGUAGAAUGAACCGGCGAGUUACGAUUUGAUGCAAGGUUAAGCAGUAAAUGUGGAGCCGUAGCGAAAGCGAGUCUGAAUAGGGCGUUUAGUAUUUGGUCGUAGACCCGAAACCAGGUGAUCUACCCUUGGUCAGGUUGAAGUUCAGGUAACACUGAAUGGAGGACCGAACCGACUUACGUUGAAAAGUGAGCGGAUGAACUGAGGGUAGCGGAGAAAUUCCAAUCGAACCUGGAGAUAGCUGGUUCUCUCCGAAAUAGCUUUAGGGCUAGCCUCAAGUGAUGAUUAUUGGAGGUAGAGCACUGUUUGGACGAGGGGCCCCUCUCGGGUUACCGAAUUCAGACAAACUCCGAAUGCCAAUUAAUUUAACUUGGGAGUCAGAACAUGGGUGAUAAGGUCCGUGUUCGAAAGGGAAACAGCCCAGACCACCAGCUAAGGUCCCAAAAUAUAUGUUAAGUGGAAAAGGAUGUGGCGUUGCCCAGACAACUAGGAUGUUGGCUUAGAAGCAGCCAUCAUUUAAAGAGUGCGUAAUAGCUCACUAGUCGAGUGACACUGCGCCGAAAAUGUACCGGGGCUAAACAUAUUACCGAAGCUGUGGAUUGUCCUUUGGACAAUGGUAGGAGAGCGUUCUAAGGGCGUUGAAGCAUGAUCGUAAGGACAUGUGGAGCGCUUAGAAGUGAGAAUGCCGGUGUGAGUAGCGAAAGACGGGUGAGAAUCCCGUCCACCGAUUGACUAAGGUUUCCAGAGGAAGGCUCGUCCGCUCUGGGUUAGUCGGGUCCUAAGCUGAGGCCGACAGGCGUAGGCGAUGGAUAACAGGUUGAUAUUCCUGUACCACCUAUAAUCGUUUUAAUCGAUGGGGGGACGCAGUAGGAUAGGCGAAGCGUGCGAUUGGAUUGCACGUCUAAGCAGUAAGGCUGAGUAUUAGGCAAAUCCGGUACUCGUUAAGGCUGAGCUGUGAUGGGGAGAAGACAUUGWGUCUUCGAGUCGUUGAUUUCACACUGCCGAGAAAAGCCUCUAGAUAGAAAAUAGGUGCCCGUACCGCAAACCGACACAGGUAGUCAAGAUGAGAAUUCUAAGGUGAGCGAGCGAACUCUCGUUAAGGAACUCGGCAAAAUGACCCCGUAACUUCGGGAGAAGGGGUGCUCUUUAGGGUUAACGCCCAGAAGAGCCGCAGUGAAUAGGCCCAAGCGACUGUUUAUCAAAAACACAGGUCUCUGCUAAACCGUAAGGUGAUGUAUAGGGGCUGACGCCUGCCCGGUGCUGGAAGGUUAAGAGGAGUGGUUAGCUUCUGCGAAGCUACGAAUCGAAGCCCCAGUAAACGGCGGCCGUAACUAUAACGGUCCUAAGGUAGCGAAAUUCCUUGUCGGGUAAGUUCCGACCCGCACGAAAGGCGUAACGAUUUGGGCACUGUCUCAACGAGAGACUCGGUGAAAUCAUAGUACCUGUGAAGAUGCAGGUUACCCGCGACAGGACGGAAAGACCCCGUGGAGCUUUACUGUAGCCUGAUAUUGAAAUUCGGCACAGCUUGUACAGGAUAGGUAGGAGCCUUUGAAACGUGAGCGCUAGCUUACGUGGAGGCGCUGGUGGGAUACUACCCUAGCUGUGUUGGCUUUCUAACCCGCACCACUUAUCGUGGUGGGAGACAGUGUCARGCGGGCAGUUUGACUGGGGCGGUCGCCUCCUAAAAGGUAACGGAGGCGCUCAAAGGUUCCCUCAGAAUGGUUGGAAAUCAUUCAUAGAGUGUAAAGGCAUAAGGGAGCUUGACUGCGAGACCUACAAGUCGAGCAGGGUCGAAAGACGGACUUAGUGAUCCGGUGGUUCCGCAUGGAAGGGCCAUCGCUCAACGGAUAAAAGCUACCCCGGGGAUAACAGGCUUAUCUCCCCCAAGAGUUCACAUCGACGGGGAGGUUUGGCACCUCGAUGUCGGCUCAUCGCAUCCUGGGGCUGUAGUCGGUCCCAAGGGUUGGGCUGUUCGCCCAUUAAAGCGGUACGCGAGCUGGGUUCAGAACGUCGUGAGACAGUUCGGUCCCUAUCCGUCGUGGGCGUAGGAAAUUUGAGAGGAGCUGUCCUUAGUACGAGAGGACCGGGAUGGACAUACCUCUGGUGUACCAGUUGUCGUGCCAACGGCAUAGCUGGGUAGCUAUGUGUGGACGGGAUAAGUGCUGAAAGCAUCUAAGCAUGAAGCCCCCCUCAAGAUGAGAUUUCCCAACUUCGGUUAUAAGAUCCCUCAAAGAUGAUGAGGUUAAUAGGUUCGAGGUGGAAGCAUGGUGACAUGUGGAGCUGACGAAUACUAAUCGAUCGAAGACUUAAUCAA
rnacentral:rRNA from 1 species